rnacentral:rRNA from 1 species
UUAAGCGACUAAGCGUACACGGUGGAUGCCCUGGCAGUCAGAGGCGAUGAAGGACGUGCUAAUCUGCGAAAAGCGUCGGUAAGGUGAUAUGAACCGUUACAGCCGGCGAUGUCCGAAUGGGGAAACCCAGUGUGAUUCGUCACACUAUCGUUAACUGAAUACAUAGGUUAACGAGGCGAACCGGGGGAACUGAAACAUCUAAGUACCCCGAGGAAAAGAAAUCAACCGAGAUUCCCCCAGUCGCGGCGAGCGAACGGGGAGCAGCCCAGAGUCUGAAUCAGCUUGUGUGUUAGUGGAACGGUCUGGAAAGUCCGACGGUACAGGGUGAUAGUCCCGUACACCAAAAUGCACAGGCUGUGAACUCGAAGAGUAGGGCGGGACACGUGGUAUCCUGUCUGAAUAUGGGGGGACCAUCCUCCAAGGCUAAAUACUCCUGACUGACCGAUAGUGAACCAGUACCGUGAGGGAAAGGCGAAAAGAACCCCGGCGAGGGGAGUGAAAAAGAACCUGAAACCGUGUACGUACAAGCAGUGGGAGCACCUUCGGGUGUGACUGCGUACCUUUUGUAUAAUGGGUCAGCGACUUAUAUUCUGUAGCAAGGUUAACCGUAUAGGGGAGCCGCAGGGAAACCGAGUCUUAACUGGGCGUUAAGUUGCAGGGUAUAGACCCGAAACCCGGUGAUCUAGCCAUGGGCAGGUUGAAGGUUGGGUAACACUAACUGGAGGACCGAACCGACUAAUGUUGAAAAAUUAGCGGAUGACUUGUGGCUGGGGGUGAAAGGCCAAUCAAACCGGGAGAUAGCUGGUUCUCCCCGAAAGCUAUUUAGGUAGCGCCUCGUGAACUCAUCUUCGGGGGUAGAGCACUGUUUCGGCUAGGGGGUCAUCCCGACUUACCAACCCGAUGCAAACUACGAAUACCGAAGAAUGUUAUCACGGGAGACACACGGCGGGUGCUAACGUCCGUCGUGAAGAGGGAAACAACCCAGACCGCCAGCUAAGGUCCCAAAGUCACAGUUAAGUGGGAAACGAUGUGGGAAGGCACAGACAGCCAGGAUGUUGGCUUAGAAGCAGCCAUCAUUUAAAGAAAGCGUAAUAGCUCACUGGUCGAGUCGGCCUGCGCGGAAGAUGUAACGGGGCUAAACUGUGCACCGAAGCUGCGGCAGCGACACUAUGUGUUGUUGGGUAGGGGAGCGUUCUGUAAGCCUGCGAAGGUGGCCUGUGAGGGUUGCUGGAGGUAUCAGAAGUGCGAAUGCUGACAUAAGUAACGAUAAUGCGGGUGAAAAGCCCGCACGCCGGAAGACCAAGGGUUCCUGUCCAACGUUAAUCGGGGCAGGGUGAGUCGACCCCUAAGGCGAGGCCGAAAGGCGUAGUCGAUGGGAAACAGGUUAAUAUUCCUGUACUUGGUGUUACUGCGAAGGGGGGACGGAGAAGGCUAUGUUAGCCGGGCGACGGUUGUCCCGGUUUAAGCAUGUAGGCGGAGGUUCCAGGUAAAUCCGGUACCUUUUUAACGCUGAGGUGUGAUGACGAGGCACUACGGUGCUGAAGUAACAAAUGCCCUGCUUCCAGGAAAAGCCUCUAAGCAUCAGGUAACAUUAAAUCGUACCCCAAACCGACACAGGUGGUCAGGUAGAGAAUACCAAGGCGCUUGAGAGAACUCGGGUGAAGGAACUAGGCAAAAUGGUGCCGUAACUUCGGGAGAAGGCACGCUGAUAUGUAGGUGAAGCCCCUGCGGGUGGAGCUGAAAUCAGUCGAAGAUACCAGCUGGCUGCAACUGUUUAUUAAAAACACAGCACUGUGCAAACACGAAAGUGGACGUAUACGGUGUGACGCCUGCCCGGUGCCGGAAGGUUAAUUGAUGGGGUUAUCCGUAAGGAGAAGCUCUUGAUCGAAGCCCCGGUAAACGGCGGCCGUAACUAUAACGGUCCUAAGGUAGCGAAAUUCCUUGUCGGGUAAGUUCCGACCUGCACGAAUGGCGUAAUGAUGGCCAGGCUGUCUCCACCCGAGACUCAGUGAAAUUGAACUCGCUGUGAAGAUGCAGUGUACCCGCGGCAAGACGGAAAGACCCCGUGAACCUUUACUAUAGCUUGACACUGAACAUUGAGCCUUGAUGUGUAGGAUAGGUGGGAGGCUUUGAAGCGUGGACGCCAGUCUGCGUGGAGCCAACCUUGAAAUACCACCCUUUAAUGUUUGAUGUUCUAACGUGGACCCCUAACCCGGGUUGCGGACAGUGUCUGGUGGGUAGUUUGACUGGGGCGGUCUCCUCCCAAAGAGUAACGGAGGAGCACGAAGGUUAGCUAAUCCUGGUCGGACAUCAGGAGGUUAGUGCAAUGGCAUAAGCUAGCUUGACUGCGAGCGUGACGGCGCGAGCAGGUGCGAAAGCAGGUCAUAGUGAUCCGGUGGUUCUGAAUGGAAGGGCCAUCGCUCAACGGAUAAAAGGUACUCCGGGGAUAACAGGCUGAUACCGCCCAAGAGUUCAUAUCGACGGCGGUGUUUGGCACCUCGAUGUCGGCUCAUCACAUCCUGGGGCUGAAGUAGGUCCCAAGGGUAUGGCUGUUCGCCAUUUAAAGUGGUACGCGAGCUGGGUUUAGAACGUCGUGAGACAGUUCGGUCCCUAUCUGCCGUGGGCGCUGGAGAAUUGAGGGGGGCUGCUCCUAGUACGAGAGGACCGGAGUGGACGCAUCACUGGUGUUCGGGUUGUCAUGCCAAUGGCAUUGCCCGGUAGCUAAAUGCGGAAGAGAUAAGUGCUGAAAGCAUCUAAGCACGAAACUUGCCCCGAGAUGAGUUCUCCCUGAGACUUUAAGUCUCCUGAAGGAACGUUAAAGACGAUGACGUUGAUAGGUCGGGUGUGUAAGCGUAGCGAUACGUUGAGCUAACCGAUACUAAUGAACCGUGAGGCUUAACCUU